AUCCUCCCGCCUUGGUCUCCCAAAGCACAGAGAUUACAGAAUAUCAAUUCGGGAAUCCAUUGCUGACAUAAUGAAUCAAAACCUUUGGGCAUAAACUCCCCUGGAAAUUCAAAUGUUGAGAUCAGAUAGAGAUCCACUUUGAGGCUGAAGUUUUAGGAUGGACUUUUACUGCAGAACUGGGCCAUCAAGGGAUCUACUGAUCCUGCAAUAGGAAACCAUUUGCUGAAUUGGGAAGUUGUUGCUAUAGCUGCUGGAUUCAAAACAAUGCAUCCCCUGCCAUCAUCAGAAGCUGCCAUGCUCUGGAAACUGCCACAUCCAAAAAGCUGCCACUCCGGGACCCGCCAAGCUUGCUAUGAUAUUAAUUAGUAAAACAGAUGUCCUGUGCCCUGCCUCUUGGUGCCCCACAAGCCAGUGAACAGUCAGUUAACAAUGGCACAGAAUAACUAAACUCCUCCGCGACUGUGCUUAUCACAGAACCAGCAGCAGAUGGCCCCUGCCUCACUCAUACCCUCCCUCCACAUCUACAAUUUUAAUUCUGCUGGUGGAAACUCUAUCACAUGAGGAAUCUUAAUUGCAAGAAUGUCCAGGGUUUGUAGCUUUAAACUUCCCAGCCCUACAGAAACAGAAAGUCCAGCUAGAAAGAGAUUGCAAUGGAUGUGUGUACCAAUCCACUGUUUCACCAAGGACAUCAUGAAGUAGAUGAGUUAUUUUAAAGACACGAAGGCCCUUGUUGUCACACUAGCCCAGACCUGCGGGUAAAUCUGAGUCAAGCCCUUUCGGGAGUUUAAGUGUGUGUGAACUAAGAAGAAAUCAGGACGAAUCUCUUCCCCGGAUAGGCUCCUUGCUUCCAUAGGAAAAGCAAACCUGAUACCAGCUGAAGUCCACGCCUGGGGGAUAUUAGGAAGGGAGGGGUCUGUGUUGCCUACUUUUUGUCUGAGCUGGUGGCUGGCCCUUUUUCCCCCGAGUUGGUGGCUGGCCCUUUUUCGCCUUCCCUGUCUUGUUGUGAUAGCUCAUAGUCUGGGCACACUCUGUUCAAAAUCUGACUUUGCCAUUUUUUGCCUCCUUGGUGUGUCCAAGCAGUGGCAUCUGUGAUUAGUUGCCUCCUGAUGUAAUAUUAACUUUACCUUUUUCUCACUCAAUACCUUCAGAUGCCUACUUCCUGUUUUCUAAAGGACUCAAUGCUAAUUAUAAUGAUAUUUUCCUUUACUUUUCCUUACUUCUAGAUAUAUUCUUUUGCAUUUUAUAUUAUUUCUUCCUCUGGAAAUGAACUAUUUCUGUAAUACAUUCUUUUCAUUAAUAAAGGUUUUAGUAUAUUUGA